UACGAAGGGGGCUAGCGUUGUUCGGAAUCACUGGGCGUAAAGGGCGCGUAGGCGGCUUUAUAAGUCGGGGGUGAAAGCCUGUGGCUCAACCACAGAAUUGCCCUUCGAUACUGUAGAGCUUGAGACCGGAAGAGGUAAGUGGAACUGCGAGUGUAGAGGUGAAAUUCGUAGAUAUUCGCAAGAACACCAGUGGCGAAGGCGGCUUACUGGUCCGGUUCUGACGCUGAGGCGCGAAAGCGUGGGGAGCGAACAGG
rnacentral:rRNA from 1 species